CGACCGAGGAGGGGGCCCUCCAGCGGGCGCGGGCAGCGCGGCUGCGUCGCGAGGGACCGGUGCGGGGAAGAGAGAUUUGUGUCUUCCAGGCUUCAACAGUUCCAAGUGAGGCUCAUGGUGGCCCAAGGAUUUCAACCCGUUCCAUUAGAAGGUGACCCGUGUCCCUGUAGGUCCUUGGAACAGUCAUCAAGGGACUUCUACACCUCUAGGGUAGGCUAGGGUCUGUGGCCCCUGUUCAGCAGGAAGUAGCUCCAGAAGAAGAGACAUUUGGCCCCUUGACCCUUAAGAAUAAUGGGUGCAGGGCUUCCCUGGUGGCAUAGUGGUUAAGAGUCCACCUGCCAAUGCAGGGGACACAGGUUCGAGGCCUGGUCUGGGAAGAUCCCACAUGCCACGGAGCAACUAAGCCCGUGCACCACGACUACUGAGCCUGCACGCUAGAGCCCGCAAGCCACAGCUACUGAGCCCGCGUGCCACAACUACCGAAGCCUAUGUGCCUAGAGCCUGUGCUCCACAACAAGACAAGCCACUGCAAUGAGAAGCCCGCACACCACAACAGAGAGUAGCCCCCACUCACUGCAACUAGAGAAAGCCUGCGCGCAGCAACGAAGACCCAACGCAGCCAAAAAUAAAUAAAUAAAAUAAGUAAAUUUAAAAAAGAAUAAUGUGUAUAGAAUCCCUCAAGGGAGAAUGAGAUCGGCUGGGACCUAGGGUCAUCUACCAGGACGCUUGCACCUGGACAGUGCCUCCUUGAACAACAGGAAGCUGGCAACCAUAAACGGACCAAGGGGUAAAGCUUUCUUAAGCAACAGGAUGCUGAAGGCCGUGAAUCAACCACAAGUGAUUAAAAACAACCUCAUGCCUGUGCAGUAGGGGCGAUGUUGACAACUACACAACCUUCCUGGUGGCGGUAACGAGCAAGUCUGCCAUUUUGAGGUGCCAGCACAGAAAGUGGGAAACUGCACAUGAUCUCUGUAUAUGGCACUGCCAAGAAGGAUGAACAAACUGCCUAAGCCAUGCCCCCUGUCUGGCCUGCAGAUCCACCCCCAAUGUCACCCCAUCAAAGGACCCAGGGAGCUCUUUGUGAAGGAGUGGGCAAGGACACCUGGUGCUUGCUUUCAGUUCCUUACGCUGCAGCACAAGCCCCCAUAAAGCCACGUCUGAAAUUCUCA